AUGGCAGACGCAGGAGGCGAGCGCCCCGAUUGGGGCACAGAUCUGGUGGAGCAGGCGCGGCAGGUCGCUGCGGGCACCUUUGUGAGGGGGCGUGCCGGCGUCCAGCGCGGUGCUCCCUCCGCUGGAGAUCUGGAGAAGGCGGGGACGGGCCGCAACGGCGCGGUCCAGCCAGAUGCGCCCGCUCUGGCGAACUCCGGCGAGGCGCAGAAGGUGGAGGCGGGCUCUGGCGAGGCGCAGAAGGUGGGGGCGGGCUCUGGCGAGGCGCAGAAGGUGGGGGCGGGCUCUGGCGAGGCGCACGAGUUGGAGAAGGUGGAGGAAGCGGAGCAGAAGGUAUCUGCGGCUAACUUUUAG
rnacentral:rRNA from 1 species